rnacentral:rRNA from 1 species
CAGUAGCCGCGGGAAUACGGAGGGUGCAAGCGUUAAUCGGAAUUACUGGGCGUAAAGCGUGCGUAGGCGGUUCGUUAAGUCUGUUGUGAAAGCCCCGGGCUCAACCUGGGAAUGGCAAUGGAUACUGGCGAGCUAGAGUGUGUCAGAGGAUGGUGGAAUUCCCGGUGUAGCGGUGAAAUGCGUUGAGAUCGGAAAGAACACCAACGGCGAAAGCACUCUGCUGGGCCGACACUGACACUGAGAGACGAAAGCUAGGGGAGAAAAUGGGAUUAGAUACCCGUGUAGUCCCUGUCUCUUAUAA